rnacentral:rRNA from 1 species
ACGAACGCUGGCGGCGUGCCUAACACAUGCAAGUCAACUUGACUGAAGGAGCAAUCUGACAGUAGAGUGGCGCAAGGGUGCGUAACGCGUAAGUAACUUGCCCAAGGUAAGGAAUAACGUCGAGAAUCGGCGCUAAUACCUCAUAAUGCAGCGGAUCCGCAUGGAUGUGUUGUUAAAGGUUUACCGCCUUGGGAUAGGCUUGCGUCUGAUUAGCUAGUUGGUGUGGUAACGGCACACCAAGGCUACGAUCAGUAACUGGUCUGAGAGGAUGAUCAGUCACACUGGAACUGAGACACGGUCCAGACUCCUACGGGAGGCAGCAGUGAGGAAUAUUGGGCAAUGCUCGAAAGAGUGACCCAGCAACGCCGCGUGGAGGAUGAAGGUAUUCUAUAUCGUAAACUCCUGUGAGAGCAGACGAAAGACAGAUUAUUAAUCUGGAUGACUGUAUGCUCAGAGGAAGCCCCGGCUAACUACGUG